AUCUCUUCGUAAAGGAAAGGAGAGCAAUAAUUAGUCACAGAGAGAAAUCAUAGAAUCACAGAGUUGGAAGAGACCUCAAGGGUCAUCCAGUCCAACCAAGCUGUAAUCAGACUAGGUAUGGGAAAAAUGAAAUACUAAAACAUUUCCUUGUGGGAUCGUUGACUUUGCAGUUUUCUGCUCUGCUGCCUGAAUGCAAAAGGAUGGGAAAACUACAGCCCCCAUGAUUCUGUCAGGAAAUGAUGUUGCUAACCUUGCUAGAGGCAGUCAGUUCUUGUUUUGAGUCAGACAAUCAAUCCACAUGUCCUUGAGAUUUUCCUCACAGCUGGUUUGCUGUCCUUGACUGAACACAAAGGUUUUUCUCUUCUUGGGGCAUCUUCUUCACAAGAAUAGUACUAUACUGAAUAAACAUUGAUCAUGAAGAUCCUUCAUUGUCUCUUUGCUGUUAUCUUCUUCUUGUUCCUGGGUUUUCAAGGGGAGAUCCCAGUGGAAGCCAUGCUCCUUACCUGCAGUUCUCUUGGUGGAUUUUGUCUGCGGCUACCCAAUGACACUUGUCCAUCGGGCGUUAUCCUGGAUAUGCCUUGCCAUUUCCAAAGAAGAUGUUGCUCAAAGAUAGCAGUAUAACUUUGACUUUUGUGGAAUAAAUCUGCUGAACCAUCAAAAAAAGAUCGCUUAUUAAAUCAAUGUGAAACUAUCGUGUUUAAUUUAAUCCCAUGAAUUAUAAUUGGCAAUUAGUACAAGGAAUGAGAGUAGCGGCAAUCAGUUUAAGAUCAAGUCAAGGUCUAGAAGGGCUCUUCCACAUAAACUGUGAUGGGUUGCAGAUUAACCUUUGGCAUCCAAAUGAUGCCUCAGGUUAAUCCCAAUUAAUCUGGACUAAACUGGGAUUUCCCAGUUUCCUCUGGAUUAAAGAAAUACCUGGAAAUAUCCAGACUUUACUGCAAAAUUAGAAUGUUGUGCCUAUGGGGAUUGACUCUUGAGACCACCUUCU